GCGAAUAUGGAUGAAAGAAAAAUUAUCUGCCUUACAAGCAGAGGAUACGAGUUCGAUUUUCGUUAUUUACA
rnacentral:tRNA from 1 species